AACGAACGCUGGCGGCAGGCCUAACACAUGCAAGUCGAGCGGACCUUUCGGGGUCAGCGGCGGACGGGUGGGUAACGCGUGGGAAUAUGCCCUUCUCUACGGAAUAGUCCUGGGAAACUGGGGGUAAUACCGUAUACGCCCUUUGGGGGAAAGAUUUAUCGGGGAAGGAUUAGCCCGCGUUGGAUUAGGUAGUUGGUGGGGUAAUGGCCUACCAAGCCGACGAUCCAUAGCUGGUUUGAGAGGAUGAUCAGCCACACUGGGACUGAGACACGGCCCAGACUCCUACGGGAGGCAGCAGUGGGGAAUCUUAGACAAUGGGGGCAACCCUGAUCUAGCCAUGCCGCGUGAGUGAUGAAGGCCUUAGGGUUGUAAAGCUCUUUCAGCUGGGAAGAUAAUGACGGUACCAGCAGAAGAAGCCCCGGCUAACUCCGUG
rnacentral:rRNA from 1 species